AUCGCAGGUGCAUGGGCUUGACGCGUAGCAGUGAGGAGUAAUCCGAGCUCGUGUUUUUGCUAGUUGAAAACUACAACUAUAUUGACGCUCCGUAUGGGCUUCGGCUCGUAUGGGAAUUUUUGAAAUACUUUUUCAACCUUUUCAUCAUCGUCGGCGCCUUGAGCGAAGAAAUGGAGAAGAGGGACACCAAAAAAGU
rnacentral:snRNA from 1 species